AAGUCGUAACAAGGUAACCGUAGGUGAACCUGCGGUUGGAUCAUUACUGAUAUCUUGCCUUUAGAGUUGAUACCGAAAGGAGUCCUCUACUGGCAGAAACCCCUUGUGCACCAUUAUGUUUUUUGGGUUGCUAUUGGAGUCUUUGGACAACUUGGCAGCCCAACAAUUUGAACAAACGUUAAGAAUUCAGUCUGAUUUUAUCUAGUAAUAGAAACAACUUUUGACAACGGAUCUCUUGGCUCUC
rnacentral:misc_RNA from 1 species